rnacentral:lncRNA from 1 species
GGCUUCUGUUCUGGACUUCCUUUGUCUUCUCUUCUUAGUGCUUCUCCUUUCCUCCUCGCCGGUCUCCUCGGGCAAAUGCAACAAGGAUGACAAGAAGGCCCUGCUCGCCAUCAAGAAGGCUCUCGGCGACCCCUACGUCCUCAUCGCAUGGACCUCCCAGUAUGCCUGCUGCGACUGGGCCGGCGUCCGUUGCAACGAGACCACCAGCCGGGUCACCUCCCUCGACAUCGACGGCACCAACACCUCCUUCGCCAUCCCGUCCGCUGUCGCCCACCUCCCCUUCCUCACCUCCCUCACUUUCCACAAGAACCCCGGCCUCACCGGCCCCAUUCCCCCUGCCAUCGGCACCAUUACCGACCUCACCUUCCUGCGCCUCGACUGGAACAGCCUCUCCGGCCCCGUCCCGGACUUCCUCGCACGUCUCACCCGCCUUGAUUACCUCAACCUCGCCUUCAACCAGUUCUCCGGCGCCAUUCCCGCGUCCCUCGCGACGCUCCCCCUCAGCUACCUCGCCAUCGACCACAACCGGCUCACUGGUCCCAUCCCCGAGUCGCUGGCCCGGUCGCCCGCCGCCUACCUUUAUC